UAGGGAAUCUUCGGCAAUGGACGAAAGUCUGACCGAGCAACGCCGCGUGAGUGAAGAAGGUUUUCGGAUCGUAAAACUCUGUUGUUAGAGAAGAACAAGGACGUUAGUAACUGAACGUCCCCUGACGGUAUCUAACCAGAAAGCCACGGCUAACUACGUGCCAGCAGCCGCGGUAAUACGUAGGUGGCAAGCGUUGUCCGGAUUUAUUGGGCGUAAAGCGAGCGCAGGCGGUUUCUUAAGUCUGAUGUGAAAGCCCCCGGCUCAACCGGGGAGGGUCAUUGGAAACUGGGAGACUUGAGUGCAGAAGAGGAGAGUGGAAUUCCAUGUGUAGCGGUUAAAUGCGUAGAUAUAUGGCGGAACACCAGUGGCGAAGUCGGCUCUCUGGUCUGUAACUGACGCUGAGGCUCGAAAGCGUGGGGAGCAAACAGG
rnacentral:rRNA from 1 species